ensembl:snoRNA
AGGCUUCUGGUGCUUACCACUGGCUGUGUUCUUACACUGACUGCCUAGAAAGAGGAGACAGAGUAAACCUACCUCAUAUACACCUCCACCCAGGCCCUGUGCCUGGUCUGUAUUGUGAAUGCAGGGGGACACAG